UGUGUCCAAAGCUGGAAGCUGCCCCAGCCAAACACUGGAAACACCCAGCUCUCCACCAAGAUAAACCACGCGAGCCACAGCUUGCGGGCAAUAUCCCAUCUCCAUCCUCACCACUGCUCAGCCCAGACCUCCCUCAUCUUCCUGGCCUGCAGACCUUAGCAGUGGCGUUCCCGCCCCUGGAACACCCUUCCCACCUGGUACCUGGUGCCUGCAGGGCCCAUGCACGGCAUAUUCACUGCUGUAUCCCCAGAGCCUCGCACAGUGCCUGGUGCAGAGAUGAUUUUCAGCAAAGAGGCACUGAAGGGAAGAUACCUAUGUGACUGUGAGGAGACAUAGGCUGGACGAUGAAUGUGAUGGCUGGAACUCAAGCAGCCACAGUGGAUCAUAAGGGACGGUGUCUUGCUAUGUUGUCCAAGCUGGUCUCAAACUGGCCUGAAUCAAUGCUUCCACCUCAGCUGCCAGAGGAACCGGGAUUACAGGCCUGAGCCACUGCAGCCAGCCAGUUUGUUAUUUUAAUGUAAAUUCUUAGUAAACAACUCAGGAACUCUCUUGUCCUUUUAAAAUCCAUUUCAACUGCUGCUAAUCGGAGUGUAUAUUCAGGGCAACUUGAAUCUGUGCUCCUGGGAUGCAAUCCUCAAGCUUGGCCCAAAUAAAGUCUCCGCUGAUAUUAA
rnacentral:antisense_RNA from 1 species